rnacentral:rRNA from 1 species
GACGAACGCUGGCGGCGUGCCUAAUACAUGCAAGUCGAGCGAACAUUUGAGAGCUUGCUCUCAAAUGUUAGCGGCGGACGGGUGAGUAACACGUGGGCAACCUGCCUAUAAGACUGGGAUAACUUCGGGAAACCGGAGCUAAUACCGGAUAAUUCACAUCUACUCAUGUAGAUGUGCUGAAAGAUGGCUUACGCUGUCACUUAUAGAGGGCCCGCGGCGCAUUAGCUAGUUGGUGAGGUAACGGCUCACCAAGGCCACGAUGCGUAGCCGACCUGAGAGGGUGAUCGGCCACACUGGGACUGAGACACGGCCCAGACUCCUACGGGAGGCAGCAGUGGGAAUCUUGCGCAAUGGGCGAAAGCCUGACGCAGCGACGCCGCGUGAGGGAUGACGGCCU